rnacentral:rRNA from 1 species
GACGAACGCUGGCGGCGUGCUUAACACAUGCAAGUCGAACGGGCCUGCCUGGCUUUGGUUGGGUGGGUGAGUGGCGAACGGGUGAGUAACACGUGAGUAACCUGCCCUCUUCUCUUGGAUAACUGCUUGAAAGGGCGGCUAAUACGGGAUGUUCUGGCUGCCUCGCAUGGGGUGGUUUGGAAAGAUUCGGCCUGGUUUUGGUUGUUUUGGUGGGGGAUGGGCUCGCGGCUUAUCAGCUUGUUGGUGGGGUGAUGGCCUACCAAGGCGGUGACGGGUAGCCGGCCUGAGAGGGUGGACGGUCACACUGGGACUGAGACACGGCCCAGACUCCUCGGGAGGCAGCAGUGGGGGAUUUUGCACAAUGGGCGCAAGCCUGAUGCAGCGACGCCGCGUGAGGGAUGGAGGCCUUCGGGUUGUGAACCUCUGUCGCCGGUGAUGUAGGCUCUGCUUU